UACGUAGGGUGCGAGCGUUAAUCGGAAUUACUGGGCGUAAAGCGUGCGUAGGCGGUUCUCCAAGUCCGUUGUGAAAGCCCCGGGCUCAACCUGGGAAUGGCAGUGGAAACUAGGGGACUGGAAUCUGGCAGAGGGGGGUGGAAUGCCGCGUGUAGCAGUGAAAUGCGUAGAGAUGCGGCGGAACACCGAUGGCGAAGGCAAUCCCCUGGGCCUGCACUGACGCUCAUGCACGAAAGCGUGGGGAGCGAUCCGG
rnacentral:rRNA from 1 species